GGAGUUAGCCGGUGCUUCUUCUGUGAGUGAUGUCCUUCCUGCCGGCUAUUAACCCGCAGGCCUUCUUCCUCACUGAAAGUGCUUUACAACCCGAAGGCCUUCUUCACACACGCGGCAUGGCUGGAUCAGGGUUGCCCCCAUUGUCCAAUAUUCCCCACUGCUGCCUCCCGUAGGAGUCUGGGCCGUGUCUCAGUCCCAGUGUGGCUGAUCAUCCUCUCAGACCAGCUACGGAUCGUCGCCUUGGUGAGCCGUUACCUCACCAACCAGCUAAUCCGACAUAGGCUCAUCCGAUAGCGCGAGGCCCGAAGGUCCCCCGCUUUCCCCCGUACGGGCGUAUGCGGUAUUAGCCUGGGUUUCCCCACGGUUAUCCCCCACUACCGGGCAGAUUCCUAUGCAUUACUCACCCGUCCGCCGCUCGCCACCAGGGAGCAAGCUCCCCGUGCUGCCGCUCGACUUGCAUGUGUUAGGCCUGCCGCCAGCGUUCAAUCUGAGCCAGAAUCAAACUACUGA
rnacentral:rRNA from 1 species